UAAAUGGACUCAAAGGCAGUAUUUGAUAUUUCCAUUUAUAUUAUUUAUUAAUUAAAAAUUAAUAAAUAAGGGAAUAAAAAUAGAAUUGACAUUUA
rnacentral:tmRNA from 1 species